rnacentral:rRNA from 1 species
AACGAACGCUGGCGGCAUGCCUAACACAUGCAAGUCGAACGAGACCUUCGGGUCUAGUGGCGCACGGGUGCGUAACGCGUAGGAACCUGCCCUUAGGUUCGGAAUAACUCCCCGAAAGGGGUGCUAAUACCGGAUAAUGUCUUCGGACCAAAGAUUUAUCGCCUUUGGAUGGGCCCGCGUUGGAUUAGCUAGUUGGUAGGGUAAAAGCCUACCAAGGCGACGAUCCAUAGCUGGUCUGAGAGGAUGAUCAGCCACACUGGGACUGAGACACGGCCCAGGCUCCUACGGGAGGCAGCAGUGGGGAAUAUUGGACAAUGGGCGAAAGCCUGAUCCAGCAAUGCCGCGUGAGUGAUGAAGGCCUUAGGGUUGUAAAGCUCUUUUACCCGGGAUGAUAAUGACAGUACCGGGAGAAUAAGCUCCGGCUAACUCCGUG